rnacentral:misc_RNA from 1 species
UUUCCGUAGGUGAACCUGCGGAAGGAUCAUUAUCCAUCUCAACCAGGAGUGGUGGCGGCCAGGCAUUGCGUCCUCGGUUCAGCCCCGCUUUCCUGCAUCCUUUUUUUACGAGCACCUUUCGUUCUCCUUCGGCGGGGCAACCUGCCGUUGGAACCGAAUAAACCCUUUUUUGCAUCCAGCAUUACCCGUUCCGAAACAAACAAUCGUUACAACUUUCAACAAUGGAUCUCUUGGCUCUGGCAUCGAUGAAGAACGCAGC